rnacentral:rRNA from 1 species
CGAAGCUGAGAAGUGGAGCAACCCCAAAAAAGACCAUCCCAGUUCGGAUUGUACUCUGCAACCCGAGUACAUGAAGCUGGAAUCGCUAGUAAUCGCGCAUCAGCCAUGGCGCGGUGAAUACGUUCCCGGGCCUUGUACACACCGCCCGUCAAGCCAUGGGAGCCGGGGGUGCCUGAAGUUCGUUACCGCAAGGAUCGACCUAGGGCAAAACUGGUGACUGGGGCUAAGUCGUAACAAGGUACC